CGUGUAGGCGGGUCGGUGCGUCGGCCGCUGAAAUCCCCCGGCUCAACCGGGGAAGGGGCGCCGAUACGACCGGCCUGGAGCGACGUAGGGGGAACUGGAACUUCCGGUGGAGCGGUGAAAUGCGUUGAGAUCGGAAGGAACGCCCGUGGCGAAAGCGAGUUCCUGGACGUCGGCUGACGCUGAGACGCGAAAGCCAGGGGAGCGAACG
rnacentral:rRNA from 1 species